rnacentral:rRNA from 1 species
UUAAGAAAAUAAGUGCAAGCGGUGGAUGCCUUGGCAUUCAGAGGCGAUGAAGGACGUGAUAAUCUGCGAUAAGCUUCGGUUAGCUGGUAAAUGAGCUAUGACCCGGAGAUUUCCGAAUGGGGGAACCCACCUGACACAAGUUGGGUACUCACUCGAUAUAGAGUGUAGAGCGAACGAGGGGAACUGAAACAUCUAAGUACCCUUAGGAAGAGAAAUCAAUUGAGAUUCCCGUAGUAGUGGCGAGCGAAGUGGGAAGAGCCUGGUAUGAUUUAGCUGUAAUUAUAGUAGAACAAGUUGGGAAGCUUGACGAUAGAGGGUGAUAGUCCCGUAUACGAAAUAAUCACAGUGGAACUAAGCAUACGAACAAGUAGGACGGGGCACGUGGAACCUUGUCUGAAUAUGGGGGGACCAUCCUCCAAGGCUAAAUACUCCUGAAUGACCGAUAGUGAACUAGUACCGUGAGGGAAAGGUGAAAAGAACCCUUAUAAAGGGAGUGAAAUAGAAUCUGAAACCGCUUGCAUACAAGCAGUAGGAGCAUGAUUUAGUCAUGUGACUGCGUACCUUUUGUAUAAUGGGUCAGCGAGUUAUUUUUAGUGGCGAGGAUAACUGAAUAAGGGAUCCGUAGCGAAAGCGAGUUUUAAUAGGGCGACUAGUCGCUAGGAGUAGACCCGAAACCGGCGCGAUCUAUCCAUGGCCAGGUUGAAGAUUAGGUAGUACUAAUUGGAGGACCGAACCCAAUACUGUUGCAAAAGUAUGGGAUGAGCUGUGGAUCGGAGUGAAAGGCUAAUCAAGCACGGAGAUAGCUGGUUCUCCCCGAAAACUAUUUAGGUAGUGCCUCGUGUAUAACUCAUUGGGGUAAAGCACUGUUUCGACAAUGGGGGUUUUACGACCUUACUGACUCGAUGCAAACUCAGAAUACGAUGAAGUUCGAUCACGGGAGACACACUGCGGGUGCUAAGGUCCGCAGUGGAAAGGGAAACAGCCCAGACCGCCAACUAAGGUCCCAAAGUCAUAGCUAAGUGGGAAACGAAGUGGGAAGGCCCAGACAGCCAGGAGGUUGGCUUAGAAGCAGCCACCCUUUAAAGAAAGCGUAAUAGCUCACUGGUCGAGUCGGCCUGCACGUAAGAUUUAACGGGGCUAAGCUAUGCACUGAAGUUGCGGAAUAUAUUUAGUAUAUUGGUAGGGGAGCGUUCUGUAAGCCGAUGAAGGUGAAUUGAGAAGUUUGCUGGAGGUAUCAGAAGUGCGAAUGCUGACAUGAGUAACGUAAAAUAAGUGAGAUUCUUAUUGGCCGAAAACCCAAGGGUUCCUACGCAAUGUUAAUCAACGUAGGGUAAGCCGGCCCCUAAGGCGUAGCUGAAGAGUGAAGUCGAUGGGAAACAGGUUAAUAUUCCUGUGCUGCUUAUAUGAACGAAGGAGGGACGGAGAAGGUUAGGUAGGCCUGGCGAAUGGUUGUCCAGGUGAAAGUAUGUAGGUAGGAAUGCUAGGCAAAUCCGGUGUUCUGUUGAUCUGAGAUACGAGACGAAGUUAAACUUGUUUGACGAAGCUAUUGAUACCAUGCUUCCAGGAAAAGCUUCUAAGUAUAUUGUAUAAGUGACCGUACUGUAAACCGACACUGGUGGGUAGGUAGAGAAUACUAAGGCUAUGAGAUAACUCUGGUGAAGGAACUAGGCAAAAUGACACCGUAACUUUGGAAGAAGGUGUGCCCUUGAUGGUGAUGAGACUUGCUCUUUGAGCUGUUGGGGGUUGCAGAUACCAGGUGGCUGCGACUGUUUAUCAAAAACACAGCACUCUGCGAAAUCGUAAGAUGAAGUAUAGGGUGUGACGCCUGCCCGGUGCUGGAAGGUUAAUUGAAGGGGUUAGCGCAAGCGAAGCUCUGGAUCGAAGCCCCAGU